rnacentral:lncRNA from 1 species
GCAGGCCUGACCAUGGAGGAACUUAUCCAGUUGGUUGCUGCACGACUGGCAGAACAUGAGCGGGUGGCAGCAAGUACUCAGCCACUUGGUCGCAUCCGGGCCUUGUUCCCUGCUCCACUGGCCCAAAUCAGUACCCCAAUGUUCUUGCCUUCUGCCCAAGUUUCAUAUCCUGGAAGGUCUUCACAUGCUCCAGCCACCUGUAAGCUAUGUCUAAUGUGCCAGAAACUCGUCCAGCCCAGUGAGCUGCAUCCAAUGGCGUGUACCCAUGUAUUGCACAAGGAGUGUAUCAAAUUCUGGGCCCAGACCAACACAAAUGACACUUGUCCCUUUUGUCCAACUCUUAAAUGACGGACCUGACUGGGGAGGAAGAAGAAGAGAAACUGAUGUGAACAGGAAGCGCGGGUUCAAGAUUUCUAAAACUCUAUAUUUAUACAGUGACAUAUACUCAUGCCAUGUACAUUUUUAUUAUAUAGGUAAUGUGUGUAUAGAAAGUCUGUAUUCCAAUGUUCGUAAAUGAAACUAUGUAUAUUAUGCAGAAACAGUCUGUUCCCCCUCAUCUUGCAAUUCCUUUGGGGGAUGCAGAUUGUAGGGAAGAUGAUGUUUAGUUUGGCCUUGAAAUUAUGAUAUCCCUGCCCAGGGCUGUUUUCAAAUACAAUAUAAAAACCACCUAGGAACCUGCUGUUGCUCUAAGGCCAUUCUGCUUUGGUUUGGCUCAGCCUCUAGUCCAUUUCCUUAAGGCUCAUGUAUGCAGAUUUAAAGCCUGGUGCUCACCCACUGUCCAACCAGAUGCCUUGCUUACCGAAAGCCUCCAGAAGCCUCAGUAUUGUUUUAGCCACUCUACUCCAAAUGGAUAAAAUGAGACUCUGAUUGAG